UACGUAGGUGGCAAGCGUUGUCCGGAAUUAUUGGGCGUAAAGCGCGCGCAGGCGGUCCUUUAAGUCCGAUGUGAAAGCCCACGGCUCAACCGUGGAGGGUCAUUGGAAACUGGGGGGACUUGAGUGCAGGAGAGAAGAGUGGAAUUCCACGUGUAGCGGUGAAAUGCGUAGAGAUGUGGAGGAACACCAGUGGCGAAGGCGACUCUUUGGCCUGUAACUGACGCUGAGGUGCGAAAGCGUGGGGAGCAAACAGG
rnacentral:rRNA from 1 species